GGGCUCGUAGCUCAAUUGGCUAGAGCGCUGCUUUUGCAUAGCAGAGGUAGCGGGUUCAAUUCCCGCCGAGUCCACCA
rnacentral:tRNA from 1 species